GCAUUGCUUAGGGUUAAAUUUAAUUUAAAAAAAAAAAUAGAAAAGGAGAAAACACGGCGCUUAAUUAAGCCCGUGAAACCACGCUGCUUAUUGUGCACGUGUCAAGAAAAGAGAGGGACGAGCUUCGGUUACGCUUGAAACCAAAACAAACUUGGUUUUGUCUCUCUCUCUCUCUCUCCUCUCGAAGCCAAGCUCCCGACGAAAAGGCGAUUCGUCUCGGUGGCUCUGCUAUCGUCGGUGACUUCUCCCUCGGUGGCUCCACGUCGACGAUCUGGAUGGUGGUUCUCCUAGAAGGCGAUGGACCUCUCGCGACGCUGGCUCUCCUCAAAUCUCCAGGUGUAUUGGUGGCGACGGAGCUCUCUCUCUCUGUCGGUGGCGGCUCCGGUUCGUCGAAGCAGUGGUCCGGGACUGUCCGAUGAUGAUAUGGAGGAGAGGUUGGCGGGUGUUCCCGUUGCUUCGACGAACACGUUUACUCAACCAGAUGAAGAUGCGGAGGCGUUGUUCAACCAGAUGAAGAUUAUGGGAAGUCUCUAGGUUAUGUUGUUCUGUAAGGAGGAAGAUGCGGAGGCGUUGCUCAACCAGAUGAAGAUUAUGGACCCUCGGAUGAAGAAAGAAGGUUCCAAAGUUGUUGCUCUUGCUCUUUAGUAAGGUGUUCCAGUUAAAAGUUAAUGGUGUGGCGUUUAGGUUGAUUCCUGAGUCUACUCAAGUUAAAAAUGCUCUCAAGGUAUGUUGAUUUUGGUGUUAAUAAUAUUGUUACAGAUAAUGUGUCAAGAGAUUAUGCAUUAUGUAUUUGGCUUUAGAUACUGUGCUGAGGUUUCUGGUAAAACAAGCAUUUUUUUUCUUUAAUCAUCUCAUCUAUAGUUUGUGUAAUCAUCAGUUUUGAUCCGAAAACCUUUAAUAUAUUGAGUGUUUUUAUUUGAAAAUAUAUUAAGUGGUGAAGCUUCUGUUUAUAUUUGUUUGUUUGAAACAUUAACUAGUUUCUGUGUGUUUGUGUGACUGUGUCUUAACAUGCGAGGAUGGAGGGUAGAAGCCGAAGGAAGCUCAUUCAAAGCAGAGGAGUGCAUUUGGUCUUCGCGAGACAGGUAAAUGUCUUCUUAGUGAAUUCAUUGAAAGCUUUAGGUUGAGUUAGUCAUUGAAAGCUUUUGGUUGAGUGAUGAAGGGGUGCUGAAGUGUAAUUAAUGUUUUGUUAGCAGUAGAAUAGGGUUGUGUGAUAAAUAGAAGUGAUGGUUAGCUAGAAACCGUAAUUGAUUUUCUUACUUGUACUCUGUGAUUAACAUUUUUUCAAUAUCUUUGUGGUUAAUGAGUUAGAUAAAUGUCUACUCCAUUUGGUUGUGUGAGUGAUGAAUGCAUCUCUCUUAUCCUCUAUUAAACUCGCCUUCUUCCAUCUCUCUUAUCUUCCAUCUCUCUUUUCCAUCUCUCUUUUCUAUUACCUCAAACAUAUUCAGAAAUGGAUUCCAAUCCAUUUUUGAAUUUAAAUUUCGUUAGUGGCAUAGGUUUACAAUCUUCCCCCAUUCCUUUAUUUGGCACGCAAGCCACACAAGAUGCAAACUUCGAGCAAGCCAAUCCACCGCAGCGUAAAGAACGGAGGGUUUGGACAGCAACAGAUGAUGUGGUCCUCAUCAGCGCUUGGUUAAACACCAGC